UACGGAGGGGGCGAGCGUUAUUCGGAAUUAUUGGGCGUAAAGGGCGCGUAGGCGGCUUGUUAAGUCAAAGGUGAAAUCCCUCGGCUCAACUGAGGAACUGCCUUUGAAACUAGCGAGCUUGAGGCCGGGAGGGGGUAGCGGAAUUCCCAGUGUAGCGGUGAAAUGCGUAGAUACUGGGAGGAACACCAGUGGCGAAGGCGGCUACCUGGACCGGUACUGACGCUGAGGCGCGAAAGCGUGGGGAGCAAACAGG
rnacentral:rRNA from 1 species